rnacentral:rRNA from 1 species
UGUGAGCUCGAUGAGUAGGGCGGGACACGUGGUAUCCUGUCUGAAUAUGGGGGGACCAUCCUCCAAGGCUAAAUACUCCUGACUGACCGAUAGUGAACCAGUACCGUGAGGGAAAGGCGAAAAGAACCCCGGCGAGGGGAGUGAAAAAGAACCUGAAACCGUGUACGUACAAGCAGUGGGAGCACAGAGCAAUCUGUGUGACUGCGUACCUUUUGUAUAAUGGGUCAGCGACUUAUAUUCUGUAGCAAGGUUAACCGAAUAGGGGAGCCGAAGGGAAACCGAGUCUUAACUGGGCGUUAAGUUGCAGGGUAUAGACCCGAAACCCGGUGAUCUAGCCAUGGGCAGGUUGAAGGUUGGGUAACACUAACUGGAGGACCGAACCGACUAAUGUUGAAAAAUUAGCGGAUGACUUGUGGCUGGGGGUGAAAGGCCAAUCAAACCGGGAGAUAGCUGGUUCUCCCCGAAAGCUAUUUAGGUAGCGCCUCGUGAAUUCAUCUCCGGGGGUAGAGCACUGUUUCGGCAAGGGGGUCAUCCCGACUUACCAACCCGAUGCAAACUGCGAAUACCGGAGAAUGUUAUCACGGGAGACACACGGCGGGUGCUAACGUCCGUCGUGAAGAGGGAAACAACCCAGACCGCCAGCUAAGGUCCCAAAGUCAUGGUUAAGUGGGAAACGAUGUGGGAAGGCCCAGACAGCCAGGAUGUUGGCUUAGAAGCAGCCAUCAUUUAAAGAAAGCGUAAUAGCUCACUGGUCGAGUCGGCCUGCGCGGAAGAUGUAACGGGGCUAAACCAUGCACCGAAGCUGCGGCAGCGACGCUUAUGCGUUGUUGGGUAGGGGAGCGUUCUGUAAGCCUGUGAAGGUGUGCUGUGAGGCAUGCUGGAGGUAUCAGAAGUGCGAAUGCUGACAUAAGUAACGAUAAAGCGGGUGAAAAGCCCGCUCGCCGGAAGACCAAGGGUUCCUGUCCAACGUUAAUCGGGGCAGGGUGAGUCGACCCCUAAGGCGAGGCCGAAAGGCGUAGUCGAUGGGAAACAGGUUAAUAUUCCUGUACUUGGUGUUACUGCGAAGGGGGGACGGAGAAGGCUAUGUUGGCCGGGCGACGGUUGUCCCGGUUUAAGCGUGUAGGCUGGUUUUCCAGGCAAAUCCGGAAAAUCAAGGCUGAGGCGUGAUGACGAGGCACUACGGUGCUGAAGCAACAAAUGCCCUGCUUCCAGGAAAAGCCUCUAAGCAUCAGGUAACAUCAAAUCGUACCCCAAACCGACACAGGUGGUCAGGUAGAGAAUACCAAGGCGCUUGAGAGAACUCGGGUGAAGGAACUAGGCAAAAUGGUGCCGUAACUUCGGGAGAAGGCACGCUGAUAUGUAGGUGAAGUCCCUCGCGGAUGGAGCUGAAAUCAGUCGAAGAUACCAGCUGGCUGCAACUGUUUAUUAAAAACACAGCACUGUGCAAACACGAAAGUGGACGUAUACGGUGUGACGCCUGCCCGGUGCCGGAAGGUUAAUUGAUGGGGUCAGCGCAAGCGAAGCUCUUGAUCGAAGCCCCGGUAAACGGCGGCCGUAACUAUAACGGUCCUAAGGUAGCGAAAUUCCUUGUCGGGUAAGUUCCGACCUGCACGAAUGGCGUAAUGAUGGCCAGGCUGUCUCCACCCGAGACUCAGUGAAAUUGAACUCGCUGUGAAGAUGCAGUGUACCCGCGGCAAGACGGAAAGACCCCGUGAACCUUUACUAUAGCUUGACACUGAACAUUGAGCCUUGAUGUGUAGGAUAGGUGGGAGGCUUAGAAGUGUGGACGCCAGUCUGCAUGGAGCCGACCUUGAAAUACCACCCUUUAAUGUUUGAUGUUCUAACGUUGACCCGUAAUCCGGGUUGCGGACAGUGUCUGGUGGGUAGUUUGACUGGGGCGGUCUCCUCCUAAAGAGUAACGGAGGAGCACGAAGGUUGGCUAAUCCUGGUCGGACAUCAGGAGGUUAGUGCAAUGGCAUAAGCCAGCUUGACUGCGAGCGUGACGGCGCGAGCAGGUGCGAAAGCAGGUCAUAGUGAUCCGGUGGUUCUGAAUGGAAGGGCCAUCGCUCAACGGAUAAAAGGUACUCCGGGGAUAACAGGCUGAUACCGCCCAAGAGUUCAUAUCGACGGCGGUGUUUGGCACCUCGAUGUCGGCUCAUCACAUCCUGGGGCUGAAGUAGGUCCCAAGGGUAUGGCUGUUCGCCAUUUAAAGUGGUACGCGAGCUGGGUUUAGAACGUCGUGAGACAGUUCGGUCCCUAUCUGCCGUGGGCGCUGGAGAACUGAGGGGGGCUGCUCCUAGUACGAGAGGACCGGAGUGGACGCAUCACUGGUGUUCGGGUUGUCAUGCCAAUGGCACUGCCCGGUAGCUAAAUGCGGAAGAGAUAAGUGCUGAAAGCAUCUAAGCACGAAACUUGCCCCGAGAUGAGUUCUCCCUGACUCCUUGAGAGUCCUGAAGGAACGUUGAAGACGACGACGUUGAUAGGCCGGGUGUGUAAGCGCAGCGAUGCGUUGAGCUAACCGGUACUAAUGAACCGUGAGGCUUAACCUUACAACGCCGAAGCUGUU